rnacentral:rRNA from 1 species
AUUGAACGCUGGCGGCAGGCCUAACACAUGCAAGUCGAACGGUAACAGGAAACAGCUUGCUGUUUCGCUGACGAGUGGCGGACGGGUGAGUAAUGUCUGGGAAACUGCCUGAUGGCGGGGGAUAACUACUGGAAACGGUAGCUAAUACCGCAUAACGUCGCAAGACCAAAAAGGGGGACCUUCGGGCCUCUUGCCCUCGGAUGUGCCCAGAUGGGAUUAGCUAGUCGGUGGGGUAACGGCUCACCUAGGCGACGAUCCCUAGCUGGUCUGAGAGGAUGACCAGCCACACUGGAACUGAGACACGGUCCAGACUCCUACGGGAGGCAGCAGUGGGGAAUAUUGCACAAUGGGCGCAAGCCUGAUGCAGCCAUGCCGCGUGGAUGAAGAAGGCCUUCGGGUUGUAAAGUACUUUCAGCGGGGAGGAAAAGAGUAAAGUUAAUACCUUUACUCAUUGACGUUACCCGCAGAAGAAGCACCGGCUAACUCCGUG